rnacentral:rRNA from 1 species
UACGGAAGGCAGCAGUGGGGAAUAUUGCACAAUGGGCGCAAGCCUGAUGCAGCCAUGCCGCGUGUAUGAAGAAGGCCUUCGGGUUGUAAAGUACUUUCAGUCGUGAGGAAGGUGUUAAGGUUAAUAACCUUAGCAAUUGACGUUAGCGACAGAAGAAGCACCGGCUAACUCCGUGCCAGCAGCCGCGGUAAUACGGAGGGUGCGAGCGUUAAUCGGAAUUACUGGGCGUAAAGGGCACGCAGGCGGUUAAUUAAGUUGGAUGUGAAAUCCCCGGGCUUAACCUGGGAAUGGCAUUCAAGACUGGUUAGCUAGAGUCUUGUAGAGGGGGUAGAAUUCCAUGUGUAGCGGUGAAAUGCGUAGAGAUGUGGAGGAAUACCGGUGGCGAAGGCGGCCCCCUGGACAAAGGACUGACGCUCAUGUGCGAAAGCGUGGGGAGCAAACG